GCUGGGGUGGCAGAGCCAGGUUAACUGCAUGAGACCUAAAUCCUCAUCCACAGAAGUUCAAAUCUUCUUCCCAACC
rnacentral:tRNA from 1 species